rnacentral:lncRNA from 1 species
GAGGGUGCCGGUCAGCGGAGCCGUGCGAUGUAUUUGAAAAGCAAUCAGUCCGACCUUCCCCCAUAGAUUCAUCGAGAGAUGUGAAAUGACCUGUCCCGUGAGAGCUCUAGGUCCUGUUCCUCUUUGUUUCUCUCCAGCCACCCCAGCAGAGUUUCUCCUGUUUGGCAGUCAACACGUGUGCAGCUCAUCUGUUGUUGGCUAAAUUGCAGAGGGUCCCAGUUUCAUUCAUUCUCCCUCACAGGGAAGGCAUUCUCUUCCUCUUCCUCCAGCUGCCUGAAAAUCAUAUGCGUGGUUUUUCCUGUUUCCUGCUCUGUAGCUGACAUCAGGGGAGCAACGUGAACACAGGAAAAUGGAAAUCAACAUUUGAAACUUUUAAAUGGAAGCUUUAUUGGGGUUCCACAUAUGGAAAACUGCAAAUAGCAGAAGUAUGUGACUCAAUAAAUUAUUCUGGAGUGACCACAUCCUCUAACUGCCUCCCAGGACAAGACGGAGAAUGUGAACAAUGCUCCUGAAGGCCCCUUUCCCUCAAAGAAUCACUGCAAUUGAAGGAAAAAUGCUCCAUGUCCCCUCUGCCAGUUGGUGUUUAUCAAAGGACAACGGAGGAAGAGAGACAAAGUGCCUGGAUGUGUGUGUUAAUCAAGAGUUGUCAGGACCCUGCCUCUAAAAGAAAGCGCUAAAAUGAUGCUUUUGACAAGACUUUUCUCAAAGUGGAUGCAGUCUAAGGGUUGGAAAACAAGGCCCAAUCAGGCUAGGUCUGACUUGUCGCCUGCUUUUGUAAAUAAAGUUUUAUUGGCUCAC